CACUGCAGCCAUACCACUCUGAAUGCGCCCGAUCUCAUCUGAUCUCGGAAGCUAAGCAUGGUAGGCCCGGAUAGUACUUGGAUGGGAGAUUUUAUUUCUUAAGAAAACAAAUAAACAAACAAAUUACAGUUC
rnacentral:rRNA from 1 species